UGCAAGUCGAACGGUGAAAGAGGAGCUUGCUCCUCUGGAUCAGUGGCGAACGGGUGAGUAACACGUGAGUAACCUGCCCCAGACUCUGGGAUAAGCACUGGAAACGGUGUCUAAUACCGGAUACGAGCUUCAGCCGCAUGGCUAGGAGCUGGAAAGAAUUUCGGUCUGGGAUGGACUCGCGGCCUAUCAGCUAGUUGGUGAGGUAAUGGCUCACCAAGGCGACGACGGGUAGCCGGCCUGAGAGGGUGACCGGCCACACUGGGACUGAGACACGGCCCAGACUCCUACGGGAGGCAGCAGUGGGGAAUAUUGCACAAUGGGCGCAAGCCUGAUGCAGCAACGCCGCGUGAGGGACGACGGCCUUCGGGUUGUAAACCUCUUUUAGUAGGGAAGAAGCGAAAGUGACGGUACCUGCAGAAAAAGCACCGGCUAACUACGUGCCAGCAGCCGCGGUAAUACGUAGGGUGCAAGCGUUAUCCGGAAUUAUUGGGCGUAAAGAGCUCGUAGGCGGUUUGUCGCGUCUGCUGUGAAAACUGGAGGCUCAACCUCCAGCCUGCAGUGGGUACGGGCAGACUAGAGUGCGGUAGGGGAGAUUGGAAUUCCUGGUGUAGCGGUGGAAUGCGCAGAUAUCAGGAGGAACACCGAUGGCGAAGGCAGAUCUCUGGGCCGUAACUGACGCUGAGGAGCGAAAGCAUGGGGAGCGAACAGGAUUAGAUACCCUGGUAGUCCAUGCCGUAAACGUUGGGAACUAGAUGUAGGGACCAUUCCACGGUUUCUGUGUCGCAGCUAACGCAUUAAGUUCCCCGCCUGGGGAGUACGGCCGCAAGGCUAAAACUCAAAGGAAUUGACGGGGGCCCGCACAAGCGGCGGAGCAUGCGGAUUAAUUCGAUGCAACGCGAAGAACCUUACCAAGGCUUGACAUAUACCCGGAAAAGUUCAGAAAUGUUCUCCCCGCAAGGUCGGUAUACAGGUGGUGCAUGGUUGUCGUCAGCUCGUGUCGUGAGAUGUUGGGGUUAAGUCCCGCAACGAGCGCAACCCUCGUUCUAUGUUGCCAGCACGUAAUGGUGGGAACUCAUAGGA
rnacentral:rRNA from 1 species